rnacentral:tRNA from 1 species
GAAGUAUUAUGACCUAAGAAAAGCUUCUAACUUCCUCUUAAAGCGGUUAAAUUCCGUUUAUACUUCU